UACAGAGGGUGCGAGCGUUAAUCGGAAUUACUGGGCGUAAAGCGUGCGUAGACGGUUAUUUAAGUCGGGUGUGAAAGCCCCGGGCUCAACCCGGGAAUUGCAUUCGAGACUGAAUAGCUAGGGUACGGUAGAGGGAAGUGGAAUUUCCGGUGUAGCGGUGAAAUGCGUAGAUAUCGGGAGGAACACCAGUGGCGAAGGCGACUUCCUGGCCUGUUCUUGACGCUGAGGCGCGAAAGCUAGGGUAGCAAACGGG
rnacentral:rRNA from 1 species